GGCUGCGAUCAUACCAGCACUAAUGCACCGGAUCCCAUCAGAACUCCGCAGUUAAGCGUGCUUGGGAGAGAGUAGUACUAGGAUGGGUGACCCCCUGGGAAGUCCUCGUGUUACAACCC
rnacentral:rRNA from 1 species